rnacentral:rRNA from 1 species
GACGAACGCUGGCGGCGUGCCUAAUACAUGCAAGUCGAACGCUUCUUUCCUCCCGAGUGCUUGCACUCAAUUGGAAAGAGGAGUGGCGGACGGGUGAGUAACACGUGGGUAACCUACCCAUCAGAGGGGGAUAACACUUGGAAACAGGUGCUAAUACCGCAUAACAGUUUAUGCCGCAUGGCAUAAGAGUGAAAGGCGCUUUCGGGUGUCGCUGAUGGUUGGACCCGCGGUGCAUUAGCUAGUUGGUGAGGUAACGGCUCACCAAGGCCACGAUGCAUAGCCGACCUGAGAGGGUGACAGGCCAACCUGGGACUGAGACACGGCCCAGACUCCUACGGGAGGCAGCAGUAGGGAAUCUUCGGCAAUGGAGGAAAGUCUGACCGAGCAACGCCGCGUGAGUGAAGAAGGUUUUCGGAUCGUAAAACUCUGUUGUUAGAGAAGAACAAGGACGUUAGUAACUGAACGUCCCCUGACGGUAUCUAACCAGAAAGCCACGGCUAACUACGU